rnacentral:rRNA from 1 species
GACGAACGCUGGCGGCGUGCUUAACACAUGCAAGUCGAACGGAAAGGCCCUGCUUUUGUGGGGUGCUCGAGUGGCGAACGGGUGAGUAACACGUGAGUAACCUGCCCUUGACUUUGGGAUAACUUCAGGAAACUGGGGCUAAUACCGGAUAGGAGCUCCUGCUGCAUGGUGGGGGUUGGAAAGUUUCGGCGGUUGGGGAUGGACUCGCGGCUUAUCAGCUUGUUGGUGGGGUAGUGGCUUACCAAGGCUUUGACGGGUAGCCGGCCUGAGAGGGUGACCGGCCACAUGAGGCCUGAGAGACGGACCAGACUCCUACGGGAGGCAGCAGUGGGGAGUAUUGCACAAUGGGCGGAAGCCUGAUGCAGCAACGCCGCGUGCGGGAUGACGGCCUUCGGGUUGUGAACAGCUUUCGCCUGUGACGAAGCGUGAGUGACGGUAAUGGGUAAAGAAGCACCGGCUAACUACGUG